rnacentral:rRNA from 1 species
GCUCAGAACGAACGUUAGCGGCGCGCCUAACACAUGCAAGUCGCACGAGAAAGGGCUUCGGCCCCAGUAAAGUGGCGCACGGGUGAGUAACACGUAGGUAAUCUGCCCCUGAGUGGUGGAUAACCCUCCGAAAGGAGGGCUAAUACAGCAUAAGACCACGGCUUCUUCGGAAGCUGCGGCCAAAGUGGGCCUCUUCAUGAAAGCUCACGCUCGAGGAUGAGCCUGCGGCCCAUCAGCUAGUUGGCGGUGUAACGGACCACCAAGGCUAAGACGGGUAGCUGGUCUGAGAGGAUGAACAGCCACACUGGAACUGAGACACGGUCCCGACUCCUACGGGAGGCAGCAGUGGGGAAUCUUGCGCAAUGGGCGAAAGCCUGACGCAGCGACGCCGCGUGAGUGAUGAAGGCCUUCGGGUUGUAAAGCUCUGUGGGGAGAGACGAAUAAGGGCCGGCUAAUACCCGGCUCGAUGACGGUAUCUCCUUAGCAAGCACCGGCUAACUCUGUGCCAGCAGCCGCGGUAAGACAGAGGGUGCAAACGUUGUUCGGAAUCACUGGGCGUAAAGCGCGUGUAGGCGGCUGCGCAAGUCGGGCGUGAAAUCCCGUGGCUCAACCACGGAAGUGCACCCGAAACUGCGUAGCUGGAGUCUCGGAGAGGAAGGUGGAAUGCUUGGUGUAGAGGUGAAAUUCGUAGAUAUCAAGCGGAACACCAGUGGCGAAGGCGGCCUUCUGGACGAUGACUGACGCUGAGACGCGAAAGCGUGGGGAGCAAACAGGAUUAGAUACCCUGGUAGUCCACGCCGUAAACGAUGAGUGCUAGGUGUCACGGGCUUUGACCCCCGUGGUGCCGUAGCUAACGCAGUAAGCACUCCGCCUGGGGAGUACGGCCGCAAGGCUAAAACUCAAAG